CGAUGCUGGCGAGGGACGGCGACCGGCCUUUCGCAGUGCACGCUGGGAGCUGUAGUCCAAUGGCGCCACUCGCGAGCAUGCGCAGCGGGUGGGUUACCGCCCGGAGUCGGGGCGUUGUCCAGGCGCUGACUUCCGGACCGGCCGCCGAGCGAGUCUCUCCUGACCCUCGCGCCCGGCAAACUGGCAAGACUCAGGGCAUCUCCGCCGAGCGAGACGUGAACCAGUCCGGCUCCUACCCUUGUCCUGCUUUCCGCCGAGCACCUGGGUCUUCGCCAGAGUGAAACACAAGAGCAGCAUUCUCAAACGAACUAUGGAUGGGGUGUUAGGGGUCAAGAGGAGCACGAGCUUCGUCAUCCGCCUGAAAGUAGGGUAGCAUUUACUAAAUUAUUCUGCAUCCGGACAAGGUGCAGAAUAUGGAAAAUGUGCGGCAUGGCAUACAUCUUUGAGGCCGGGGCCCUGCGUGCUGUGACGCUCCUGUUUUGUUAUAAAGGACUACUACCAGGAAUGCCUUCCAUUUCCCUGUCAGUAGUCUCUUGGCUGCAUUAUAUGUAAAGAGAUUGUAAGUGAAGGCAGUUCAAGAUCUUUGGAAGAAGAGCAACCGGAAUCCAGUUUUUUAAGGUUUUUGUUGUUGUUUUUAACUCCUGUAAUCAGGGUCACCCCUUUGGUGCAGGAGUGGUUAUAUUGAGACACACAAUGACAGAUCGCUCCAGUCUUACCUCUUCCCAGUACAGCAAUUCCUAGGAAAUUUGGAAAACCUCAGAGACUUUUGACAGGCUCAGUUUAUGUCAGAUGCCUGACGUAAACUCCUGGGGUGGGAGGGAAGGGUACUGUAAGGAAUAGCCCCGUGACACCAGCUGGAAUUUAGGACUCAGUUACAAAGGAAGAAGAUGCAGAUCCGAAGUAGGAAGUAGUACUGGAAAAUGAAAGCAUACCACAAGCCAGUCGUGUCUCAUCCACACUGUGUGUGUGGCUGUGGUGGUAGUAGAGACGAGAGUGUGAACGAUGAAGAGGUUAAUCCAGAGGCACCUUAUGAGAAGGUGACUCCUGGCUUCCUGAGGGAAUGGAGGGCAGGGACCAAGAUCCAGGCAUACGGGGGACACAAGAAAGAACAGCUGGGCUACAUGGGAAAGUAGCUUGGGGAAUUCAUGAGCAAACACCACUGGCCUGUGGAGAAAACUGUUUUGAUAAUUCUAGCACUUCAGAUUCUCAGAUUGUAGAGGGAGCAAAGGAAAAGGGCAGAAAGUACAUCACGGGAAGCAGAGGGAAGGACUAUGAGAUCACUUUAUGCUGUCUUUUUCCAUUUCCUGCAACUCCCCUUCCAAGUCGCUGAGUCAUUUUUUAGCUGUGAUUCUGGACCACUAAGGUAUUCUCUGAUUUCUGAUUCCAGGAAGACUUUCGCCAGUGUCCAGGAGAAUGGUUUUCCAGUGAUAUGAAAAGAAAUGGAAUCUGAUCUCCAGGGUAGUAAUGGCUGCCAGUCAGCCAGGCUGAUGACAGAAAUCAUGGCUGCAACAAGGAGUCCCCAGGCAUACCCAUUCCAAGCAAGGACUGCUACCAGGGACAGAAAUCAGGCCUUCCCAGCACCAGCCCUGACUCAGAAGCCUCCCACCAACGCUUCAGGCAGUUCUGCUGCCAAGAGGUAGCCAGCCCCCAUGAAGCCUUUAGCAAGCUCUGGGAACUCUGCUGUCAGUGGCUAAGGCCUAAGACACACCCAAAAGAGCAGAUGUUGGAGCUCUUGGAUUUGGAGCAGUUUCCAACCAUCUUGCUGGAGGAGAUCCAGACCUGGGUGAGGGAGCAACAUCCAGAAAAUGGUGAGGAAGCUGAGGCUCUGGUUGAGGAUGUACAGAGCGCAUCUGGCCAGCAGGUGAGGACAGGCAUUCAGGACCUGCUGAGUUUCGUUACGAAGAACUGAGCGAGAAGCAUAGGAAUCUGCUUAGUGGAGAGGAGCUUGAGCUGAGAAACACACAGUAGCGCUCUGUCCGCCACCAGAAACCACAGGCUGGCUUGGGGUGGUCCCUGCCCUUCAUCUUUGGGGAGAAUUUCUCGUUUGGUGCAAUAACGUAGACACGGAUAUAUUCAGUUUAUGUUUAAGGUCCCUAAUACAAAUGUAAAACCUCAGAAUACUUUCCAACAGAAGGUCAGGGAAAGGACAACUAUCCCUCACCCUCGGAGUUGGUGAGUUAAAAUCCAGUGUCUCUUGCUGAAAGUCUCCUUGAGGGCAGAUGCCAUGUGUUAUUCACUAAAUAAAGUUGCAUUAGAGCUGC